UACGUAGGGUGCAAGCGUUGUCCGGAAUUAUUGGGCGUAAAGAGCUCGUAGGCGGUCCGUCACGUCGGCUGUGAAAACCUGGGGCUCAACCCCGGGCCUGCAGCCGAUACGGGCGGACUAGAAUUCGGUAGGGGAGACUGGAAUACCUGGUGUAGCGGUGAAAUGCGCAGAUAUCAGGAGGAACACCAAUAGCGAAGGCAGCUCGCUGGGACGUUACUGACACUGAGGCGCGAAAGCGUGGGGAGCGAACAGG
rnacentral:rRNA from 1 species